rnacentral:tRNA from 1 species
AAAAAGAUAAGCUAAAAAAGCUUAUGGGUUCAUACCCCAUCUAUAAAGAUUUCAUCUUUUCUUUUUA